rnacentral:rRNA from 1 species
CCUACGGGAGGCUGCAGUGGGGAAUCUUGGACAAUGGGGGGAACCCUGAUACAGCGACGCCGCGUGAGUGAAGAAGUAUUUCGGUAUGUAAAGCCCUAUCAGCAGGGAAGAAAGAAAUGACGGUACCUGAAUAAGAAGCCCCGGCUAACUACGUGCCAGCAGCCGCAGUAGUACGUAGGGGGCAAGCGUUAGCCGGAUUUACUGGGUGUAAAGUGAGCGUAGACGGCGAUGCAAGUCUGAGGUUAAAGGCGGGGGCUCAACCCCCGGACUGCAUUUGAUACUGUGGGGUUGGAGUGCAGGAGAGGUAAGUGGAAUUCCUAGUGUAGCGGUGAAAUGCGUAGAUAUUAGGAGGAACACCAGUGGCGAAGGCGGCUUACUGGACUGUAACUGACGUUGAGGCUCGAAAGCGUGGGGAGCAAACAGGAUUAGAUACCCGUGUAGUC